AGACGCCAGCUGGACCGCCCGGAGACCAUGGACCCCCAGUGUCCCUUCAGAGCCAGGAGAGAGCGGGCGAGCUAGACGAAAACAGGCCGGGCCGCCACUUGACCUUGAAUUAGUAGACUCGGCCCAGCUCGGGAGGCCGCAGUUUGCAGAGGGCCCGCACUUGCUCCAGAAUCCAAAGCAGACGCGGAAGGAGAGCUUGCACAACGCAGGGAGAGUAUCCUCUGUCCCACUGGAGCUUGCGUCUCUGGGGAGAUUGUUUAAAGAAAAAAACAUCCCAUCAAUUGCAAGACACGCUGGACUUUCAAUCUCUCGGUGAAUCUUUUAAAUAGCUAAGGACUAUUAAAUGAGAACUAGGUCUAGAACUGGUAAUAGGAUUCAAUCAUGUGGCUGAUUAAUUAACUCACAGGCUUUGCCUUGGUCACUGAAGCUAACUGGAGUUAGUCUCCAGAAUAACUGUUCACCUCCAGAAUAACUGUUCACCUUCACUGAGAAAGGCUCCCUGGAUAUCGCUGUCUCACUUUGUUUUGUUUUUGUUUCUCUAGACCAGCACUUCUCAGUCUGUGGGACUUGACCACUUUGGUGGUAGAACGACCCUUUCACAGGGGUGGCAUAUCCAAUAUCCUGUAUAUCAGAUAUUUACAUUAUGAUUCAUGACAGUAGCAGAGUUCACUACUUUCACUGAAAGUAGUUAAGAGACCAGCCUGGGCUACAGGAGACUCUGCCUUCUUCCCCAGUGUUGCAGAGCAGGACCCAUGAUGACAAUGAUCCUGCUUUUUGAUUUGUUCUUGAGCUCCUGGUUUUUAUUGUUUUUCCUCUGUGUGUGUGUGUGUGUGUGUGUGUGUGUGUGUGGUUCUGGGGAUUGAGCCCACAGUCCCAUGCAAUAUUGAAAGUGCUCCUCCAUCAAGUUAUAUCCUCAGCUCUCAUUUUCAACUACAAUCUAUAGUGAAAGGUAACUGGAGAAGAAUUUCUGAAAAUAAGUAAGCGAAGACUUAAAAGUUAGCCCAGCUUGUGGUUGCUAUUACAGAGGAGGCAGAGUGUGAGAGUGGCUGAUAGAGGAAAGAGGCUGUGUUUCCGGAAACUGGAAGUCCAGGUUGAAGGACCUCAUCUGACAAGGGUCUCAUACAUGGCCAACAUCAGAAAGGCAGCAGGCUGUGCAGAAGAGGCAAACAGAAGUGCUCGCAAAAUGUCUGCUCUUUAGCACCUACCCAGUCCCAUGAAACCAAAGUCUUACUGCCUCAAGAAUGAACUGAGUCCUUCCAGGAAGGGAGGAACCCUCUUGACAACCCAAUGACCUCUUCAAGUCCUCACUCAUAUUAGGGACAAAAUUUUGACAUCAAUUUCAAAGACAUGAUUCCCUUCUGUGGUCAAAGCUGACUUGGAAUUCAGUGCUGGAAUUAUAGAGAAUUCCAGAACAGAGAAGCAGAAGCAGACGAUGAAAACAAAUCAGGUUUUACUCAAUUUAAAAUAGCCUGUAGUCUUGUACAUGCUAUUAUGAGAAAUAACAAGUGUCUUUAAAUUAAUAUGUUUUUUGUUAGUAAAAUACAGUGACCUCC
ensembl:lincRNA 4930563E18Rik RIKEN cDNA 4930563E18 gene